rnacentral:tRNA from 1 species
GCGGGCAUAGUUUAGUGGUAAAACUCCAGCCUUCCAAGCUGGCUAUGAGGGUUCGAUUCCCUCUGCCCGCU